rnacentral:rRNA from 1 species
CGGACGGGUGAGUAAUGUCUGAGAAACUGCCCGAUGGAGGGGGAUAACUACUGGAAACGGUAGCUAAUACCGCAUAACGUCGCAAGACCAAAGAGGGGGACCUUCGGGCCUCUUGCCAUCGGAUGUGCCCAGAUGGGAUUAGCUAGUAGGUGGGGUAACGGCUCACCUAGGCGACGAUCCCUAGCUGGUCUGAGAGGAUGACCAGCCACACUGGAACUGAGACACGGUCCAG